UGAGCUAAUGAGAUAGACAAGACAACCGAAAAUUUAUUAAAUAUCCUUUCAUGCCAGAAACAAAUGUAUUAUACACACAAAAAGCACAUAAAGCACGGUAGUACUGUGGUUACAAACAUGGGUCUGAGAUCGAGUCCUGCUCUGGAGUGACCAGUCCUGUGAGAUGGAGAACUGAGUUCUAUGUAUAGUUGGUUAUAUUCUAUACCUGGAAAUUUCUCCAAAACUGCUUCCCACGUGCCCUCACCUCCAGUGGCAUCCAUCCAGACACCAGCACUGACACUGGCCGUGCUCAGAUCUGCCUCAGCCCUGAAGACACAACUGACAAAUAGAA